rnacentral:lncRNA from 1 species
UUUUCUCCUCUCUUCAUUUGUACUAGAUAUUAAAAAAAAAAAGAAGAUUGCACACCAUAGUCGUGCUCAAAAAGACAGUCACCAAUCCAAGAGCUUAGUCGUCCUUUAUCUCAUUUUCGGCAGUCGCUAGUCCAUUACAAAUCACCGCCUUUGUUGACUCCAAAGGAGACAUGCAUACUUAAAGGACUUCAGUUUAGGCAGACUCAAGCCUUGAUAAGAUAUAAUUCGUACUAGAUAAUAUUAAGCAUUGUUGUUUAUGUCAUAAUUUUCAACCAUGUCCAUCCAAAUGUCAGAAGAAAGCUUGUCUUGCACUGCUUUUUGUUUACAGUAUUUUGCCAUGGUAUCUAUUCCAAUUAUAAACAAAGGAAAGUUGACUGGUAAAGGCUAUCCUUUCAUUUGUAUUAGUUUAUGCUGAUACAUUUAAGUCGAUAUAUUGUUAGUUACUCUCUUUGUUUCAAGGCAUUUGAAGUUGUUGGAACAUCACUCCAUUGGGCAAAUAGAUUUCAUUCUGUAAGCAUCUCUGAACAAUGUUGUUCAUGCAUUAUAAAGGUCAGUGGUCGCUGAGACCCUUUUUGUGAUGUUCCUAUCACAAUGGUUCUUAGCUUGUUUAAAAUGUGGAGCACAUUAUAAGAUGAUAUUGCAAUAAUAGAGGUUGAGAUAUUUUUGAUGAGAGAGAUAUAUAGAAAAUAUAUGAUGCUCAAGAAUAAUUGGUGUUCCAUCAUGAGUUUUUUGAGCCAGUUU